rnacentral:rRNA from 1 species
GGAAUAUUGGACAAUGGGGGAAACCCUGAUCCAGCGACGCCGCGUGGGUGAAGAAGGCCUGCGGGUUGUAAAGCCCUUUCGGUGGGGAAGAAAAGCCUCGACCUAAUACGUCGGGGUCUUGACGUAACCCACACAAGAAGCCCCGGCUAACUCUGUGCCCGCAGCCGCGGUAAUACAGAGGGUGCGAGCGUUAAUCGGAAUUACUGGGCGUAAAGCGCACGUAGGCGGCUUUGAAAGUCGGGUGUGAAAUCCCCGGGCUCAACCUGGGAACUGCAUUCGAUACUGCAUUGCUGGAGUAUGGGAGAGGGAAGUGGAAUUUCCGGUGUAGCGGUGAAAUGCGUAGAUAUCGGAAGGAACACCAGUGGCGAAAGCGACUUCCUGGACCAAUACUGACACUGAGGCACGAAAGCGUGGGGAGCAAA